AGAGUUUGAUCAUGGCUCAGGACGAACGCUGGCGGCGUGCUUAACACAUGCAAGUCGAGCGGGGCGUAGCAAUACGCCUAGCGGCGGACGGGUGAGUAACACGUGGGUAAUCUGCCCUCAAGUGGGGAAUAACACAAAGAAAUUUGUGCUAAUACCGCAUAGAACUGAUGCUUCGCAUGGAGAAUCAGUUAAAGAUUUAUUGCUUGAGGAUGAGCCCGCGGCCCAUUAGCUAGUUGGUGAGGUAACGGCCCACCAAGGCAACGAUGGGUAGCCGACCUGAGAGGGUGAUCGGCCACAUUGGAACUGAGACACGGUCCAGACUCCUACGGGAGGCAGCAGUGGGGAAUAUUGCACAAUGGGGGAAACCCUGAUGCAGCAACGCCGCGUGAGCGACGAAGGCCUUCGGGUUGUAAAGCUCUGUCUUCUCUGACGAAGUAUGACGGUAAGAGAGGAGGAAGCCACGGCUAACUACGUGCCAGCAGCCGCGGUAAUACGUAGGUGGCAAGCGUUGUCCGGAAUUAUUGGGCGUAAAGGGUGCGUAGGUGGCAGUUUAAGUGGGAUGUGAAAUACCUGGGCUUAACUCAGGGAUUGCAUUCCAAACUGGACUGCUAGAGUGCAGGAGAGGAAAGUGGAAUUCCCAGUGUAGCGGUGAAAUGCGUAGAGAUUGGGAGGAACACCAGUGGCGAAGGCGACUUUCUGGACUGUAACUGACACUGAGGCACGAAAGCGUGGGGAGCAAACAGGAUUAGAUACCCUGGUAGUCCACGCUGUAAACUAUGAGUACUAGGUGUAGGGGGCGAAGCCCUCUGUGCCGCAGUUAACACAAUAAGUACUCCGCCUGGGAAGUACGAUCGCAAGAUUAAAACUCAAAGGAAUUGACGG
rnacentral:rRNA from 1 species